CAGUCGCCGCGGGAAUACGUAGGGUGCAAGCGUUAAUCGGAAUUACUGGGCGUAAAGCGUGCGCAGGCGGUUAUAUAAGUCAGAUGUGAAAUCCCCGAGCUCAACCUGGGAACUGCAUUUGAGACUGUAUGGCUAGAGUGUGUCAGAGGGGGGUAGAAUUCCACGUGUAGCAGUGAAAUGCGUAGAUAUGUGGAGGAAUACCGAUGGCGAAGGCAGCCCCCUGGGAUAACACUGACGCUCAUGCACGAAAGCGUGGGGAGCAAACAGGAUUAGAUACCCCUGUAGUCCCUGUCUCUUAUAC
rnacentral:rRNA from 1 species